AAGAGGGUGCGCGGAUUUCCAGUGAUCCUAGAAAGAACACCUAAAAUGCUCUCCAGUGCAGACUCACUACGAGCUCCGUGGUGAUCCCUAAAGACUCUCCACCGGCCCCUUGGGCCCUGAGAUACAUCAGAAAACAUCUGCUAAGUCCGUGUAAAGCCUUGGCUCUCACCCUUUCGUACGCUCCCCGAUCUGAGGGUCGGCACAACGCAUCAUCCGCCCUUUUCACGUAACGGAUCGUCGUCUUCAAGCGGGCAGGACAAUCACAUAAUCGAAGAGUCAAAGCAACUGAUGCCUCAAACGUCGCAAGGAGGAAUUAAGAGAACGCACUUUAGAUUGAUCGCAGAUCGUCGCGUCCACGGCUCCAAGUGCCCAUUACCGGAAAGACAGCGCAGCCCACACACUGCAAUUCGGGAUGAUGGCCGUGGGAGCUCCCUGGAAGCAGCAAGGGACAGUGGAUAGAGCACGGGGUCCGGGCGUCGGAAGGUCACGGGUU